UUUCUGUGCUUGUGGGCGUGAGUUUGAGUGUGUGUGUGUGUGCCGAUAUAUACUUACUUUUUACAAACUCUAUUAAGGAGAAAUUGGCAAGAUGCAUUCAUAUUUUAAUAAUAAUGUCUCUAAUGUAUUAAUGUCUGUAAUGUUACAGUGGGUUUUAAAUCUACUUUUCAAUGUAUAUUUUAUGUGUAUUUAUGUUUUUUAGUUGGAUUUAAGCUCAUGUAGUCUGUUAAUUUAUAUUUGAUUGGGUUGUCUGUCGUGCAAAUGAAAAAUGCCUAAGAGAGUUUGUUCAUUGGGCUUUGCCCUACUGCUCCUACCUUCUAUUCCCCUUAUAGUUAAACAAUAAUUUUAAGCCAACAAGUACAAUUACUCUCAUAUAUAUAAAUAUAUAUGUAUGUAUGCACAAUCAUAGAUAUCAUCCAUAUGCAGCUGUGAUUUUUAUCUGGUUAUGUUUGACACUGAGUUCAGCUUCCAUAUACGGAGAGCAUUUACUAGAAAUGGUUUCCUAGAACCGGGGCUGGGUAACCUGUGUCAUUUCUCAUGGUAUAUCUCAUUGUGCCUGUACCUGACUAGUCAUUAUUUCUUCCUGGCAAUUAGCAAAAGUCUGACUCCAUUGAGUUAACUCAAGAUGUUUUAGUCAUCCCCCCCCCCCCCCCCAUGCUGGCCACAGCACUUAGAGAGCAAGUCAUGGUAUAGUACUGGGAGUGGGAAGCAAUUACUCUAAGGCAUAAGAUGAAAAGACUGCUUAUAUUCUGCAUUAAAUAUGACUGUGUCUUCAAAGAUGCCUGAAAACAAGAGCACUGGUAUGUGCAGCUUGACUGCUAAAUCAGAUAGUGAUUUCUGCCUAUGCUUUUAAAAUGGAGAUGUGAAUUACCAUGGCAGAGAAAUGAAAAUCUAAGGGCUAUAGUGGGAGAAUGUUAAAUUUAGGAAGAAAAUCUUAAGUCUAAUAAAAAGCAUUGGAUACUUAUGAAUAUUGCAUGUUCAGUAUAAAAAUAAACAUAUUUUGUUUCACUAAGAACUUGAUUUCCACACAUAAAAAUGUAAAAUGAGAAAUGUAAUCCAGAGCCAAAAGAGAGCCCUGUUAUUGUAUUUCUUUUGUGUUUUUUUUUGUGCAUAUCUGUAUGUACAGUUGGCUGUCUGUGUCCUGUGUAUCCAUAUCUGUGGAUUCAGUCAACUGCAGAUCAGAAGUAUAGCUAGGCCUGCAGUGGUUGAAUUUCUACUGAAAGCCUUCCUUGAUGUCACUGUUCCCAAAAUUAUACAUUUUGAACAACUAUCAGUAUAGAAUUUAUGUUGUUAGCUCUCUAAGCAAUCUAGUAACGAUAUAGUAGUGAGGGACCUUUUUUUUCUGCCAAGGGCUGUUUGGAUAUUUAUAACAUCAUUCAGGGGCCAUACAAAAUUAUCAACUUAAAAAUUAACCUACAACAGAGUUACUGAAUUUUGAGUCCUGCCUUGACAAGGCCAGAUCAAAUAAUUUUGCUGGCCUAUAUAGCUGACUUAAAGUCACUGGGAGUUUGGGCCAGUAUUGUGGCACAGCAGGUUAAGCCACUAUCCGUGAAUCUGGCAUGCCAUAUGAACAGCGAUUCUUAUCAUAGCUGCUCUACUUCCUAUCCAGCUCCCUGCUAAUGUACUUGUGGGAGACCCGGAUGAAGCUCCUGGCUUCAGCUUGGCCCAACCAUGGCCAUUGCAGCUGUUUGGGGAGUGAACCAGAGGAUGGAAGAUCUUGAUAUUCCUCUCUAUACCCCACCCCCCUUCUGUCUCUGAUUUAUUUAUUUCUUUAUUUAAAGAAUUAUUUAUUUAUUUGAAAGAGUUAAAAGAGAGAAAGAGGGAGAGACAGAGGAGAGAGAUCUUCUAUCCACUGGUUCACUCCCCAAAUGACCACAACAGCCAGGUCUGGGCCAGGCCAAAUCAAGGAGCUAGGACCUUCUUUCAGAUCUCUCUGAUGGUUCAAAGGUCCAGGGACUUGGACCCUCUUCCAGUGCUUUCCCAGGCACUUUAGAAGGGAGCUGCCAGGUCUCUAACCAGUGCCCAUAUGUGAUGCAGGCAUUCCAUAUGGCAGUGUAAACUGUUGUGCCACAGUGCCAGCCCCCUCCCUCUCCCCUCCCUCCCACUCUCUCUCUCUUUCUUUUUCUCUUUCUCUUUCCUUUUCUCUCUCUAAUUUUGCCUUUCACAUAAAUAAAUCUUUAAAAAAAAGCAUAUGGAGGACAUGCAUAGGUUAUAUGCAAAUUCUGUACCAUUUAUGUGAAACAGUCUAGAGCAUCUGUGCAUUUUGGUAUCUUUGGGGGUCCAGGAACUAAUCUCUUAUGGAUACCAAGGGACAGUUGAAUUAGAAAUAUGCUUUACUUUUUGUACUUACUGAUGCUGAAUGUUUGACCUUUAUAGUGGCUUAAGCUUUCAGAAAUUACUGUCACCCUUGGGCUUACCUUCCAGAUCCCUCUCCUUUUAUUCCCUUAUAAAUUGGUGUAGAUGUUUGAUUUUAGUACUGUGUUGUUGGAAAAUAAAUCAAAAACUGUAAAGGCUGUCAGAGUUAGGUGUUCCACUGGGGCUGAUUUCUAUCAUUAAAUGUUUAGUAAGACAAUCCCCUCCCUCCACUCGCCUUCUCCCUCCCACAUCUGUCCUGUGUGUGUGUUUCCUGAGAACUCAGGAAAGGGACUAACUGUCUAACUGCUGAGGAUGAUAUUGGGAACAAGAUGAGUUCUUGUUGCUUACUUAUCUUUGCUGCUCAGCCAGGAGCCUUACAUCGAGGCUGUUUUCUUAUUGCACCAAACAGGUGAGUUAACUUCUAUCUUAGAGCCCUGAGAACUCAGAGAUGGUGAUACUCUAGUAAUAGUGCUAUGACCAAAGGGCUGAGCGGCCGAUUUGGAGCUACAACUCAAACAUUUCUCAAGACAUUGAGGACUGGCAGCAGGGACAGGUGCAGGCUAACUGAUGGAGCCCAAAUAAUUAGAUUGAAUCAGCUUUUCUACAUCCAGCUUCUUUUCAAAUAAUAGUGACAGAUGAUGAAGGCUCUCCUGGCUUCUCUAGUGUCCUUUAGAAAUAGACCAAGCAUUUCUUAUUUGGAGAGACUUAUGAGGGUUAUAGCCCAAAGUUCAGUGAUAUCUACCAAAAAUAUUCUUUGUGAAUGAUCAGCUUUCCUACUAGUGUGUAUUCUUUUGAUAACAAAUAUAUUAUUUUUAGAGUGAACUUGUGUUCUCUUGAAUUUUCUUAUUUAAACAUGAUAAUUGUAUGACUUGUGGAUGUUGCCUUCUGAGGCAGUGUGGUCAGAUUCAAUAUAGAACAUCCUUUUAAUCCCUGAACCUACAAGAUAUAUGAAAAGUGUCUCAAUGGUAAAAGGAAUGAAUAUUUGCAGAAUUAUUACGUGAGCAAAUGUAGUCUUACCUCCUUAUAGCUGUUUUAAGGAAUUGGCCGUGGAAACGGAAAGAGUCUUUUACGUUGUUUUGUGCUUCAUAUAGCAAACCUCAUGUGGACUCUAGAGGACAGAAUGUUUUAAAAGAUGUUGGGGAAAAAUGUUUGAAUGAAAAUUAAUGGAAUUAUCCUUAUUUCCCAAAGAAGAGAAUUUAAUUAUGAUGUGAGUUUUCAGUUUUAGAAAUGAUGCUUACUGGUUGUUUCUUCCCUGGCACAUCAAGAGUAUUUCUUUUAUUUAUUUAUUUAUUUAUUUUUGACAGGCAGGGUUAGAGAGAGACAGAGAAAAAGGUCUUCCUUUUCCAUUGGUUCACCCCUCAAAUGGCCGCUACGGCCGGCACGCUGCGCCGAUCUGAAGCCAGGAGCCAGGAGCCAGGUGCUUCCUCCUGGUCUCCCAUGCAGGUGCAGGGCCCAAGCACUUGGGCCAUCCUCCACUGCCUUCCCAGGCUACAACAGAGAGCUGGACUAGUAGAGGAGCAACUGGGACAGAAUCUGGUGCUCCAACCAGGACUGGAACCCGGGGUGCCGGUUUGCAUAGCAAACUUUGUUUAGCUGAGAAGUAUUUGAAUGCACAAUAGAAUUGCUUUAACAGGAUAUUGUGUAUUCUCAUAUCUUAAAAUUUUUCAAUGAAAUCUAGAAAAGUAGUUGCAGGAAUGAUCAGCGGGCUACAUUGCUUUUUGGGUUCAAUAAGGUUGCAUAAUCCUGAAAAUAUAGCUUCACCUUGUUGUGCAGCUAGACUUCCUCUUGAUUUGAUGGUCACAAGUACUUUUACUAAUCUCUGCUGACCAGAAGGAUGUUCCAGAAUUGUAAGAAAAAUGAACAGUUGUGCUGAAAAUUGAGCAGACAGUCCUCAGAAAUACGUCAGUACAAAGGUGCUUUUGAAAAGAAAGUAGGAUUUCUUAAAUGAAAAUAUAAGGUUCAUGACACUUAUAUAUUGACUGUGAAGCAAUAAAAAGUAGGAAACAAGUACUGACACACUGGAAAAUGUAAAGCUGCUUUGAAUAUAUUAUAGAUGAUUCUUAUAGUUCUAAUGCUUUUAUGUGGGAAAAGUUAUUAAAAUAAGUAUAGUGUUAUAUAUUUUGAGGUUAAAAUUUUGUAGACACUGAAGAUUUUAACUUCAACAAAUUUUUUUUUUUUUUUUUGCUUUUGCAUUUGAAGACCCUAGUCUACUUUAGUUAUUUAGCAUAUAGUGGUUUUGGGAAAUAGGUUGUUGGAUACCUAAAGUGGUCUUGUUCUAUCAGAAAAUUCAUUUUGAAGUUAAUUCUCUCAGGAUGCAAAGUCCAAAGAUGUAGAAUUUGUGUAACUUUAUAACUUUAAUAGCCCUGAGAGAUGUUCUGGACUGAUUUUCCAAUGUACUGGCCUUUAGUGACUUUUCUAACCCAAUAAUAGUUUCAUAAAGCAAAGAUAUAUUAAUUCAUUUUGGUAGUUUGUCCUCCUUGCUUUUGUGCUUCCAACAUACUCUUCCAUUUAUGAAAUAAUUAUAAUUCUUAAAAAAAUCAUUAUAUUCUGUGAUGAUAUUUUGGGGGCCCUACAGGAGAGGAUGAGAGUAUUAGUUGGGCAGGGCUUGAGGCUCUGAUUUCAUCUUUGAGGCAGUCCCCUCUUCCCCUUUUUUGGCCUCUGUGUAUUGAGAUUUUGUUUGUAUAAACAAAAUUUACUUAAAUGUAUACAUGGGUCCUUACUAUUUCAAAAGUGCCCAAGUAGAGCAAACGUGGUUGAAUGAUUACUUUCUCAAUGGCACUGUUUUCUUUUGUGGCAGAACACGUGCAUGCACCUUGGUUCCCUGAAUAUUUGUUUCCUGUUAGUGUUAAUUGCCCUAAGUUUUGUAUUUCUUCCCCCUCCUCUGCCCACUACAGAAACAAAUGGCAUAGGCUACUUAUGGAAAAUUACAAACAGUCAAUACACUGAGUAAGAACAGUGUUAUAGGCUGAGGAUGUACCAUUCUGGGCUUUUUCCCAUCUUGUGAUAAAUGAAGGGUGUAUAGUGCAUGAUCACUUCUGAUUGCAUUUUUAUUUGUAUGAUCCUGUGUAAUCUUGACCUGAGCUAUGUAAUGGAGGGUAUGAAUUAACACAGUUCUUAGUAUAGGUCAUCAGCCUGUGAACAUUGGAGGGUAAGUGCUUUUUCCCCUCACAUCUUAUCUGUUAAAUGAUCUCAUUAUAAAGCAACAAAUAAGACAUGAAUAAUUGUUGGUAGUAGUCAUUGCCAAAUGAUUAUAAGUCUUGCAUUUAUUCAUUUUUGGUAGUGCUUUAUUAUAAAACCAGUUUAAGAUUUCCUUUUUCAUUUUGGGAGGUAAAAAAGCCUCAUUGCAGUACAGUAACUCAUUUAAUAGUGCCCUAAAUGAGUCCUUUGGUUUCUCCAAGUUAAUUGCUCAAAUAAUACCUUGUUUUAGUGCUAUAGUAAGAUCCAUUUUAAUAUCCUUCUACUGUUUCAAUAAGUGACAGUCUUAUAAAGGCCUUCCCCUUAAUAACUAUUUAAUAAGGUGGUUAUGAGUCUGGCACCUUAGACCGCUUGGCCAUCCUGACACACUAUAUAAGUUAGCUAUGAAAACCCACAUAAGUUUAGCUUUUGUUGAGAUUCUAGUGUUGGUGUGGUUUGCCUAGGGAUUAAUAUUAGGCUGUUCUUCCCUUUGGUGAUAAUUUAGAAAGAAGUAGAUUGCUGUGCUUGGACUUUUAACCUUUUUAUCCUGGCGUAUUUAAGAGGUGUUUUCAGUGUUUUGUUGUUGUUGUUGUUUUGUUUUGUUUUUCCUUGGAGAAUUGUUCAUCUCUAUUCAUGACAAUUAGUACAUAAGUACAGGAGAGGGAAGAGUGUAGUCAUGAUGUCAUCCUCAUGAUGAAUACUUGCUGUUUUUUAAGACUCUGCUCAAAGAUCAUCUCUUUAGGGAUAGGUUUUAGGAAGGUUUUUCUGACUAUCUCAGAUACUAGAAACUCCUGCUUUUGAAACCUUUAAAGUUUACAGCUCUUAGUUGGAUACUGUCUAUCCUAGACUCAGCUCUAGAUCUUUUUCCUAUCACCACAGUGCUUACCUCAUAAUUAGCACUUACUUGUAUCAAUGGCUGCCUGGCUGAAUAAAUCAGUGAGGAUUCUAGAGCACAAAUACAAAAUGUGUAAAUUUUUUAUUGAAGGAAAACACAUAAAGCUCACAGUUUUCACUGUCUUUAAGAAUACUGUUCAGCUGCAUUACAUAUAUUCACAUUGCUGUACAACUAAGAUCACUAUCACCACUAUCCACUUCUACCACCCUCUCAUCACCUCAAACUGAAACACUAUACCCAUUAAACAGUAACUUCCCCUUCCCUCCUCCCUCUAGAGCCUGUACUUUUUACAGAAAAACUUACAUUCCAAAUUAUUAUUUAGCAGACAAGAAACUGAAGAGCUUUGAUGAACAGAUGAUUCUAUGUCUUGCAGUUAAAUAGCAGCAAAAUUGGUUUAGAACCCACAUUUCUUGGUAGUUAUGUGUAUGAUUUUCAUCCUACUGUCUAUGUUCUUUAGAAAGAUGUAGAAAAUACCAAAUACCAAAGGGCACUGUGCGUUGCUUUAGGGCUUUGCUAAAUUUAUUUUAUUUAUGAGAUCAUAAAUAAAAGCACAAUAAAAAGUUACUAAUACCAUAUUAUUGGUAGUACUGUAGCAAUCUCAGCACUCACAAAUUAUAACCCAAGUUUCUAUAGCAUCAGAAUUUUUUUUUUAAACUUUUAUUUAAUGCAUAUAAAUUUCCAAAGUACGACUUAUGGAUUACAAUGGCUUUCCCCCCAUACCGUCCCUCCCACCCACAACCCUCCCCUUUCCCACUCCCUCUCCCCUUCCAUUCACAUCAAGAUUCAUUUUCGAUUAUCUUAAUAUACAGAAGAUCAGCUUAGUAUACAUUAAGUAUGGAUUUCAACAGUUUGCUCCCACACAGAAACAUAAAGUGAAAAAUAAUAGAUGAUUUUUUAAAAUGAUGAUGAAAUCAGAGCAGACCUAUUGUCAUGUUUAAUCCCAGUGAGAGUCAAGUUGGGAAUUGAUAAAUUGAUAAUUUCUUUUUUUUUUUUUUUAUAGAGGAUCAGUUUAGUAUGCAUUAAGUAAGGAUUUCAACAGUUUGCACCCCCAUAGAAACACAAAGUGAAAUAUAUUGUUUGAGUACUCGUUAUAGCAUUAAAUCUCAAUGUACAGCACAUUAAGGAUAGAGAUCCUACAUGAGGAGUAAGUGCACAGUGACUCCUGUUGUUGACUUUACCAAUUGACACUCCUGUCUAUGGCAUCAGUAAUCUCCCUAUGCUCCAGUCAUGAGUUUCCAAGGCUAUGGAAGCCCUCUGAGUUCUCCGAUUCUUAUCUUGUUUAGACAAGGUCAUAGUCAAAGUGGAGGUUCUCUCCUCCCUUCAGAGAAAGGUACCUCCUUCUUUGAUGGCCUGUUCUUUCCACUGGGAUCUCACUCGCAGAGAUCUUUUUGCCAGAGUGCCUUGGCUUUCCAUGCCUGAAAUACUCUCAUGGGCUUUUCAGCCAGAUCCGAAUGCCUUUAGGGCUGAUUCUGAGGCCAGAGUGCUAUUUAGGACAUCUGCCAUUCUAUGAGUCUGCUGAGAUUCUCACUUCCCAUGUUGGAUCACUCUCCCCUUUAUUUACUCCAUCAGUUAGCGUUAGCAGGUACUAGACUUGUCUAUGUGCUCCCUUUGACUCCCAGUCCCUUCACCAUGACCAACUGUGAACUGAAACUGAUCACCUGGAACAGUGAGAUGGCAUUGGUACAUGCCACCUCGAUGGGAUUGAAUUGGAAUCCCCUGGUGUGCUUCCAACUCCACCACUUGGGGCAAGUCAGCCUGAGCAUGUCCCAAAUUAUACAUCUCUUCCCUCUCCCAUUCCCACCACCAUGUUCAACAGGGAUCACAUUUCAGUUAAUUUUCAACACUUAAGAAUAACUGUGCAUCAAUUACAGAUCUAAA